rnacentral:rRNA from 1 species
CAAUAGCGUAUAUUUAAGUUGUUGCAGUUAAAAAGCUCGUAGUUGGAUUUCGGUUAAGAGCGACCGGUCCGCCGUUUGGUGUGCACUGGUUGGUUUUAACUUCCUGUAGAGGACGUGCUCUGGGUUUAACGACCUGGACUCGGAGUCUACGUGGUUACUUUGAAAAAAUUAGAGUGUUCAAAGCGGGCUUACGCUUGAAUAUUUCAGCAUGGAAUAACACUAUAGGACUCCUAUCCUAUUUCGUUGGUCUCGGGACGGGAGUAAUGAUUAAGAGGAACAGUUGGGGGCAUUCGUAUUUCAUUGUCAGAGGUGAAAUUCUUGGAUUUAUGAAAGACGAACUUCUGCGAAAGCAUUUGCCAAGGAUGUUUUCAUUAA